AAUAUUUCCAACGUAACAUAACAUCUUUAACAAUAUCUUAUGAUCGUAAGUCCAAGGUUGAGAAUUUAUCACGCACAAUACGCCGUGAACGGUUUCGCGUAGUUUAGCCAACGAAAAUAUUAACAACACCAUACGGCGUACAGGAAAAUCAUAAAUCGCUCUUAAUUCGAAUUUUUUAACAUUUGUAUUUAAAAAUAUGAAAGAAAUAAUUUCUGCAGCAAUAUCAGUUAUCGCGGUAUUAUGUAAAUAUUUAACAUAAUUCUGUUCGGUUUUCUAUGAAUUGUAUAACAUUUUGUUAAUUUGUGCUUUUAAUUUUAAGGUGCUGUAACCUUAGCUGUAAUGACAUCAUUUGACGAUAAUAAACAAAUGAAUGUCUACGAUCAAAUAUCUGCAGAUACGAAAAAAGAAGAUGAAAAAAUUAAAAAAUUUAUCGAUGAAGAGUGCAAAAAAAAAAAAAAAUGAAUAACAUUUGAUCAACUCGCUAAUUUGUUUAUUAAAAGCAAGUGUUAUUUUACUGAUACUUCUUAUAUAACGUCUUGUUUUUUUUUUUAAAAAAAAACUAAAUAAUUUUCAAGCAUUACAUAAUGCUUGAACAUUAUAUAGUUAUUUUUUUUUUUCACCUAAAAGUUACACCAUUAACCCUGGAUCACAUAAUAUAUUUUUAAUCUAGCUACAUUAAAUAUUUUAUUGUGCGAUCCAGCUUUUAAUAUCUAUAACUUUAUAAAUCAACAACUUGGUAUGUUAAUUACAAUUUUUUCAAGUGCCUGGUUUUAAUAUCUAAGUAUUUUAACAUAAAAAUAUCAGUGUUUUCCCCACCAAUACGUUGGAUGUAUAAAUGACCCUAUCAAACAAAAUUAUUUCUUAUACCGACUCAUCACAUUCGACAUUGGCCCUAUUGAUUGCAUACAUUAUCAUAAACAUUUGCACACAGUAUGCAUAUUAAUAUAAUAACAUUUUUUUAAUCAUGUGCGUUAAGUUAGGCCCUGGUCCCCCGACUUUAUAUUCGUUUUUAUAAUCAUUUCACCAUCAAUUGACAUUUUAACUUACAAAAUCUUCAUUGUCCUCUAUAUCCAAUGAUAGCACAAUAGUCACUUAUUCAAUUUUUAUUUUUAUUAACUUGUAAUUAUUAUUUUGAUGUCGUUUUGUAAACAUUUUUAAUUUGAAUUUUUGUAAUAAAUUGAUUUUGAUAUACAGUUAAAUAAA